rnacentral:rRNA from 1 species
CAGCAGCCGCGGUAAUACGGAGGGUGCAAGCGUUGUCCGGAUUUAUUGGGUUUAAAGGGUGCGCAGGCGGUUGUGUAAGACAGGUGUGAAAUCCCCGGGCCUAACCUGGGAACUGCGCUUGUGACUGCACAGCUAUAGUAUGGCAGAGGGGGGUGGGAUUCCACGUGUAGCAGUGAAAUGCGUAGAGAUGUGGAGGAACACCGAUGGCGAAGGCAGCCCCCUGGGCCAAUACUGACGCUCAUGCACGAAAGCGUGGGGAGCAAACAGGAUUAGAUACCCCCGUAGUCCCUGUCUCUUAUAC